rnacentral:tRNA from 1 species
UGCGGGAUAGAUCAGAGGUCAGAUCGGGAGCUUCAUAACCUCCAGGCCGCCGGUUCGAAUCCGGCUCCCGCUACCA